AGGGUACUGCCUGGUUCGUCAGGACAACCAUAUAUCUCGGGGCCUUACGGUCCUUUAGGGAACUGUCACUGGUGGAGAUCCUGGUCUCCUGCACACGGUGCCCACCUACAUUAGUAGGUCUCCGAGGAUCACCGUUCCAACGGCCAGGUGGGCCCGC
rnacentral:other from 1 species